AGAGUUUGAUCCUGGCUCAGGACGAACGCUGGCGGCGUGCUUAACACAUGCAAGUCGAGGGCGGUAGCAAUACCGACCGGCGAACGGGUGCGUAACACGUGAGCGACCUGCCCGCGUGUGGGGGACAGCCGGCCCAACGGCCGGGUAAUACCGCAUACGCUUCUUGGGGGGCAUCCCCUGGGAAGGAAAGCCUUCGGGCGCAGGCGGAGGGGCUCGCGGCCUAUCAGCUCGUUGGCGGGGUAAUGGCCCACCAAGGCGACGACGGGUAGCUGGUCUGAGAGGAUGGCCAGCCACAUUGGGACUGAGAGACGGCCCAGACUCCUACGGGAGGCAGCAGUGGGGAAUCUUGCGCAAUGGCCGAAAGGCUGACGCAGCGACGCCGCGUGGGGGAGGAAGGUCUUCGGAUCGUAAACCCCUGUUGCCCGGGACGAAAAGCCCUUUCGAGGGCAUUGACGGUACCGGGUGAGGAAGCACCGGCUAACUCCGUGCCAGCAGCCGCGGUAAUACGGAGGGUGCGAGCGUUGUCCGGAAUCACUGGGCGUAAAGGGCGCGUAGGCGGCGGGAUAAGCGUGCGGUGAAAGCUCGGAGCUCAACUCCGAGUCGGCCGUGCGAACUGUCUCGCUCGAGCACAGUAGAGGCAGGUGGAAUUCCGGGUGUAGCGGUGGAAUGCGUAGAGAUCCGGGAGAACAUCGGUGGCGAAGGCGGCCUGCUGGGCUGUGGCUGACGCUGAGGCGCGACAGCGUGGGGAGCAAACAGGAUUAGAUACCCUAGUAGUCC
rnacentral:rRNA from 1 species